rnacentral:rRNA from 1 species
UGGGGAAUAUUGGACAAUGGGCGAAAGCCUGAUCCACCCAUGCCGCGUGUGUGAAGAAGGUCUUCGGAUUGUAAAGCACUUUAAGUUGGGAGGAAGGGCAUUAACCUAAUACGUUAGUGUUUUGACGUUACCGACAGAAUAAGCACCGGCUAACUCUGUGCCAGCAGCCGCGGUAAUACAGAGGGUGCAAGCGUUAAUCGGAAUUACUGGGCGUAAAGCGCGCGUAGGUGGUUUGUUAAGUUGGAUGUGAAAGCCCCGGGCUCAACCUGGGAACUGCAUCCAAAACUGGCAAGCUAGAGUACGGUAGAGGGUGGUGGAAUUUCCUGUGUAGCGGUGAAAUGCGUAGAUAUAGGAAGGAACACCAGUGGCGAAGGCGACCACCUGGACUGAUACUGACACUGAGGUGCGAAAGCGUGGGGAGCAAACA